AACGAACGCUGGCGGCAUGCCUAACACAUGCAAAGUCGAACGGCAGCACAGCAGAGCUUGCUCUGUGGGUGGCGGGUGGCGGACGGGUGAGUAAUGCAUCGGGACCUACCUGAACGUGGGGAUAACGUAGGGAACUUACGCUAAUACCGCAUACGUCCUACGGGAGAAAGCGGGGGAUCUUCGGACCUCGCGCGGUCAGACGGACCGAUGUUCGAUUAGCUAGUUGGUGAGGUAAUGGCUCACCAAGGCGACGAUCGAUAGCUGGUCUGAGAGGAUGAUCAGCCACACUGGAACUGAGACACGGUCCAGACUCCUACGGAGGCAGC
rnacentral:rRNA from 1 species